GAUAACAAGGGGGAAGGGGAGAGCUGUAAGGAUCUGCACCUCCUGGUUCCCUGGGCACACCUUGGGCAAAGGGCUGCAGGGCAGCACAAGUCACUAUCACUGCCUGGAAGGCUCAGCUGAAGGCAGAAGAAGGUGCUCUUUUUUUCCAGGCCACUGUGCCAGUGGCAAAGAGGGAUUCCUGCUUUUGAGCUUGGGAAGAGAAGAUAAAGCAGUGACUCAACCAGCCUGGGCACUCCAAAUAAUGCCAUCUAGGUUGGACUAUCCCUCGUUACUGUUCUCUCUGACAUUUUUGAAGUUCUACGCCUGUGUCUGAGCGCACACAGAUAAGCUCUUACGAAAAAGCCAUCUGUCACCGUUUCCUAAACUUAUAAUCUAUGCAAUUCCUGCUUUCAAAAUUGCCAGGCAUCUGGCAGGGAAAAGAUCUGGCAAAGGCCAGAUGCUGUACUCUGCAGGAGGAAGUGAAAUCACCUAAAUAUUACAGGAUCAAAAAGCAACCGCAGCCGGGGAAAAAUUGCUUCACAAAUUGCGAAACCACAGAUGGCAGCAGAGAGAAAGACCUUAAUAACAAACAAAAAGACAUGGCUCCGUGUGGAGAUGAGCCCUUUCCUGGGACAGUCCAAGAGACACCCAAGCGAUGAAUACUAGGGAAAGAUCAGCAGAACAAGAGAGGCUGGAUUAAAGCUUUUUCACCUCCCAAGAACAGUCUCAAGUACCUACAGAGUUGUUCUGAGCUACCAUCACCCAUCAGCCUUGCUGAGCCUUGUCACCAACAGAGCUCAAAGCAGCUUUUCUGAAAACUUCCAGGGAACUUCAGCAGAAAUCCUGUUAAUUUUGCCUGAACAAAUGAAGUGUAGAAUAUAUAAAGUAGGCUUGUUUCACCCUCUGAAUAAGAUUAUGAGAAGGGGAAAGUUCAUUUGAGAAGUAAACAGGACUACAAAACACAAAAAGUUCAUUGUUUGUAAGGGGCAUUUCUUUGUUUAAUGCAAAUGUGGCUAUAACUGUGUUUGAGACCUUUGGCUGAAUUAAUUAUCCUUUUAAAUCAUUACAGAUAGCAAAACUACAAAUUAAGAACGCUUUUUUUGUACCAGAUAAAGAUGUGCCACCUUUCUCAGUUCUCUGAGCCAAUCCACUACCAAACCUGGAGCCAAUUACCAAAGCUGAAUAUGAAACUGGGAAAUAUUCAGGAGGACCUGCAAGACUGGAGCCAAAGAAUGGAAGAGCACUUGGGAAGGCAUGAAGAAAAACUGGAGAUAUCUUGAGAGUCUGAAUUAUUUUAAUGGCUAGAGACAGGCACCUCCUGAAAGUAACAAUUCUCCAUAGGGUGCUGCACACUGAUCUCCCUCUAGGGAGGGAGAUCGGUUUGAGGAGCUGGAAGUCUGAUAUGUCAAAUCACGCUGAGAAUAACAAAAGGAAAUCCCACAGUUAUCAAACCAAGCACAGAUAGUUCCUCUCAGGCCACAACUUUGACAUUUCACUGUCACAAAACACUUAAUCCUGUGAGUAAGGAUUAGCACUGCACAGGCCCUGUCCAGAGAACUUGUUGCUACAGAUUGUUUAAAAUUAUUGAUUUCCUUUCAUCAAU